ensembl:snRNA U6 U6 spliceosomal RNA
GUGCUUGUUUUGGCAGCACAUAUACUAAAACUUGAAAGACAUAGGGAAGAUUAGAAUGGUCCCCACACAAGGAUGAGAUGAAAAUGCAUGAAAAAGGAAAUAUGAUG